AAAUCGCCCAGACAGCUAGGAGGUUGGCUUAGAAGCAGCCAUCCUUUAAAGAAAGCGUAACAGCUCACUAGUCGAGGGGUUUUGCGCCGAUAAUAUCCGGGACUAUAAGUAUCAUACCGAAGCUUUGAGAUUCUUAGAAUCGGUAGGCGAGCGUUCCAUUGACCGUUGAAGGUGGACCCGUGAGGGCCGCUGGAGGAGAUGGAAAUGAGUAUGCUGGCAUGAGUAGCGAUAAACACAGUGAAAUUCUGUGUCGCCGUAAGCCCAAGGUUUCCUGAGUAAAGUAACUCUGCUCAGGGUUAGUCGGACCCUAAGUCGAGGCCGAAAGGCGUAGACGAUGGAAAACGGGUAAAAUAUUCCCGUACCAGCGGUUAAUUGUCUGAACUAAGGGGGGACGCAGGAGUGAAAGAUCAGCACGGUAUUGAAUAUCCGUGUCUAAGCAUGUAGGGUGAUCCGGUAGGCAAAUCCGCUGGAUCUUAUAAGCCUGAGAUGUGAAUGGGAAGCGCGCCUUCGGGCAAGCCAACUGAUCCUAAUCAAACUGCCAAGAAAAUCCUCUAUGUUAGAUUAACAGCUGACCGUACCGUAAACGGACACACGUGGGCGAGGAGAGUAUCCUCAGGCGCUAGAGAGAAUCAUGGUUAAGGAACUCGGCAAAAUGGCCCCGUAACUUCGGGAGAAGGGGUGCCCUAAUUAGGUAAUGAUCUUCGCGAUCGGAGCUGAAAAGGGUCGCAGUGAAGAGGCUCAAACGACUGUUUAACAAAAACACAGGUCUCUGCUAAAUCGUAAGAUGAAAUAUAGGGACUGACACCUGCCCGGUGCCGGAAGGUUAAAUGGCGAGGUUAGUUCUUCGGAACGAAGCUUUAAAAUGAAGCCCCGGUAAACGGCGGCCGUAACUAUAACGGUCCUAAGGUAGCGAAAUUCCUUGUCGGGUAAGUUCCGACCUGCACGAAUGGUGUAACGAUUUGAGCACUGUCUCAACCAUGACCUCAGCGAAAUUGAAGUGUCGGUGAAGAUGCCGGCUACCCGCAGCAGGACGAAAAGACCCCGUGAACCUUUACUAUAGCUUAGUAUUGGAUUCUGGUUCUAUUUGUGUAGGAUAGGUGGGAGGCUUUGAAGCUUAGGCGCUAGUUUAAGUGGAGCCAACCUUGAAAUACCACCCUUGUAUUGCUAGAAUUCUAAUCCUGAUCCGUGAAUCCGGAUAGGAGACAUUGCUAGGUGGGUAGUUUGACUGGGGCGGUCUCCUCCUAAAAAGUAACGGAGGAACCCAAAGGUCUCCUCAGCACGGUCGGUAAUCGUGCGUAGAGCGCAAAGGCAUAAGGAGGCUUAACUGCGAGGUCGACGGACCGAGCAGAUGCGAAAGCAGGGCUUAGUGAUCUGGUGGUUCCGUAUGGAAGGGCCAUCACUCAAUGGAUAAAAGGUACUCCGGGGAUAACAGGC
rnacentral:rRNA from 1 species